AUAAUUCUUUAACAGAAAACUAAGUCACCUAAGCAAACCUCUACAACCUUGCUUUAAUUUUAGGGGUUAUUUCAUGCCCAGUUUAACUUUUAAAAUUAUUUUUAGUAUCUCCUUUUCCAGACUUCCAGAAAAUAGAAUGAAGUUAAACGAAAUCAAAGUAAACUGAGUAAUCUGAAAUGAAUUGAUGUCAGCAGCGAUUCCGCAAGCAGCCCUCUCCCACAUCACAUCCCCCGGGAGUGGUGAGCUCAGCACUGCAUUUAUUCUGACAGAGCAGAGGGAACACACAGACUCUGGCUGGCUCAGACCAGCUGAAAAUCCAAGGCAACCACCCUUUCUGGACAACUUUCUGCCUUUCCAGCACUUAGCAUGGCCUGAAAAUUCCUGUCUGGGGAGGCAGGACUUUAAGUCCUAGCAGGACAAAGGCAUUCACUUAACGGUGACAACCUGAAAAGCCAGUUGGUGGAAGGGCCCCACUUUCUUGCCCCCUCCAGCCCACCGAUCCAAACCUCCUAGAGGCCAUCCCACCUGCAACUGGCCUAGAGGCCAGAUAACCUCCGACUUGGACAUCAAAAGUUAGCAAAGUGCAGGAAGGAGGGGAUCAACAAGGGCAAAAUCAAAAUGCUGAUAUCUCAUUUGUUUUCGCCGUGCAGGUAACUUUUGGAUUUGCAUCCUUUUUCCUUCUCUGAUUUCAAAAAACAAAAAACAAAACCCUAAAAAUUCUUAAGUUCUGAGGAGGGACUCUGCAGCAGGAAGAGGAAUAAGAUGACAGGAUGAGUAGGGAAAAGGCUGCACGUGUUCUCUCCCCCACGUCCUCUCCCCUGUCACCCCAACACACGCGCGCGAGCUUCAACCAGUGUGUAAAAAUAGCUGCCUGGGUUUUGUUAUUCAUCCGUAAGCAGGAAUGAUGGGCGGGCUUCUCCCUGCACUGCCUGCUGCCCUUGAGUAGCUUGUACUAUCAGGUGACGCCUCACGACUCGCAGUCCCCACCCCUCGCCAGAUAAAAGUCUUCCGUGACGUUAGAAAUUUUCAUUUUAAUGGAGAAGAAAACCCGCCCCGCUUUCCGCGUCGGCGGGGCGGGAGCUCCCCUCCUCCACGCCCUAGGCCCCUGCGCCGCGAGAGCGGUUCCAUCUGUGCUCGGACAUAACGGCCUCUCUGUGCCUCCCGGCACGUCCAGCGCGAGGGCGUUCGGGCCGGAACACGCCCUCCCGCACGGGGCACAGCUUUCCCAGGGGCCUGGGGAGAGGCUCUGGCCUUUCCUAAUGAGGGCCAGGCGCCUCCCCUGUGGGCUCGAUCCAGGCAGGCGCACCCCGUCCCCCCGGAGUACACUGAUUGCCUCAGGGGGGUGGGGGGAGGGAGUCGCGGACGAUCCCUGCACAGCCUCCCCGGCGACCAGAGCUAGCGCAUGCGUGGAGAGGCUCCGGACGCUGGCGGCAUGAGGCCGCGCAUGCGCCAGCCAGCCUUGGGGCGGGGGGGCUGUCCGCGGAGAUUGGAGCUCCUCUGGUUUAGGCCCUUGUCUGUUUCCUGGCAGCACCUCAGGGACACUGCAGUAUUGGAAGAGAGCCACAGAAUGCUUAGAGCUCCUUAGAGAGCAUCUGUUUCAUGCCUCCAUUUUACAGAUGAGGAAAUAGAGCCAAAGAGGCGAUGGGAAGUGACCAAAGCUGCAUUUCUGAAUUCUGACACCUGGGACCAGAUCCAGCUCUUAUUGGCCUGGUUUAGUGUAACGUGGAAGAUGAUAUCAAUUCCACUUUGGCAGUUGAAGAAAUGGACGUUCAGAGAGGAACAAGGUGUGCAGUGAAGGACCUCAGGUGCUGUGCUGCAUUUUGACAGUUCCUUAGAAGAAAACACUCCUGCCUGUUCUAUUCAAUCCCAGUCCAGUAUUUGAGUCUGCACGAUGCCACCACUCGGAGUCUCCUGUGCUGGCACCUACAUUGCAAAGCUCUGUGGUAUCUAUACUGAAGUGGACCAGGAGGCUACCUAUGAGCAGAAAUGUGAUCCUGGGCCACACUGAAAAACACUGGGGCAGGAAUAAGCCAGCAAGUGUAUGAGAUACAUCUGGUGAGAAUGGUAAUUCAUCUAGUUUCUUAAACUAGUAUUAUGGGCUAAAUUGUGACCCCCACCCCCGAUUUUAUACAUUGAAGUCCUCACCCCCAAUACCUCAGAAUGUGACCACAUUUGGAGAUAGGGCCUUUAAGGAGGCAUUUAAAUGAAAAUAAGGUCAUUGGGGUGGACCCUGAUCCAAUAUGACUGGUGACCUUAUAGGGAGAGAAGAUUAGGACACGCACACCAAGGAAAGAGAAUGUGAAGACACAGUAAGUAGACAGCCAUCUGCAAACCAAGGAGAGGAGACCUCAGGAUUUAGGAAUUUAAGAAAGAUAAUACAGUGCACGUGUUAUGGCUGCAUAACAUCCUGUAGCAUCUACAACAGUAUCCUGCAAUCAAACAUGCUAAUGUGUCUGUAGUGAGAUGUAUAUGUUGCAUAAAUAAAGCCUAUAAGUAGCCAUGUAUCAUCUUAAGACAGAUUUUUGUGCCAAAUGAAUCUGUUUCAGGUCAAGUUUUGCUGCCAAAUGAGUUAUAAAUACCAUCUUUGGUAUUCAGAGCUUUUAGGGCUUUGAAAUGGUGGACCUUUAGUAUCCCUGCCUUACAGAUGAAGAAACUGAGACACAAGGAAAUAAAACACCUUAUCCGCUUUUAUUAACCCAUGGGAGGUGGGACUAGGCUACCGACCCAGGCAGCCUGGCUUCAGAGUCCGCGCCCUUCACGUCCACCUGGCGGCACCCUUCAGUACCGCCUGCCUGCCAGCGCCGGAUCUGCCGCAGAAUUUCACACCAAGCUGGCGGCCUUGCUGUGAGGACCAGAGAGUGCAGGUAGAGUUCUGUGAUGGGUUGAAUUGUCUUUCUCCCCCCAAAUUCAUAUGUUGAAGUCCUAACCCUAGUACCUCAGAAUUUAACCUUAUAUGGAGACAGGGUCUUUGCAGAUAUAAUUAGUUGAAUUACAAUGAGGCUAUUAAGAUGGGCCCUAAUUCAAUAUGGCUGGUGUCCUUUUUUAAAAAAGAAAUUUGGGGGCACCUGGGUGGCUCAGUCCAUUGAGCAUCUGACUCUUGAUUUUGGCUCGGGUUGUGAUCCCAGGGCCAUGAGAUUGAGCCCCGCGUCUAGGCUCUGCACUGAGCAUGGAGCCUGCUUGGGAUUCUCCUCUCUCUCUCUCUCUCUCUCUCUCUCUCUCCUUGUGCCCCUCUCCCCAGCUCAUGUGCUCUCUCUCUUUCUCUGAAAAAAAAAAUUAAAAAAAGAAUUUGGACACAGAGACAGAGGUGCACUCUGGCAGAAUGCCAUGUAAAUAUGAACGCAGAGAUGAGGGUGAUCUUUCCACAGGCCAAGGAAUGCCCAAGAUUGCCAGCAACACGCCAGAGGCUAGGAGCGUGGAACAGUCACGCUGAGCCUUUGGAAGGAAGCUACCCUGGCGAUACCUUGAUUUUAAACUUGUAGCCUCCAGAAUGUGAGACAGAUUUCUGUUCGAGCCCCCCAGUUUGUAGUGCUUUGUUACAGCCGCCUUAGCAAACUAACAUAAUUUCUUCAUGCAGGUCCCAGAGUUCAAGUGGGAGACUAAUAAAUGGUAGCUAACCAACUUUCUACCUUUGUCAUGGAGGCUGCAGAAAAUAAAGAAGGUGCAUUAGAUGAUUUCUAAGGCCACUUACAAGUUGCAGGCCUAAUUUUCUUUCUUUCUUUCUUUCAUAUUUAUUUUUAUGUUGGGGAGGGGCAGAGAGAGAGGGAGACACAGAAUCCGCAGCAGGCUUCAGCCUCUGAGCACAGAGCCUGAUGCGGAGCU